rnacentral:lncRNA from 1 species
GGUCUUCAUUACUCCAGCCAAAAAAAUAGUAAUGAAAAUGGAAACACUUCAAGGUUUCUUUGAAGACUAGAAAUAAGUUGGUGAAGGAUAUGGCAUAUAACAGAGCUGGAACACCCUUCUUCUCCUGCCUUUGGACAUCAGAACUUCAGAUUCUCUGGCCUUCAGACUUCAAGACUUGCACUAGUGGCCCCCUGGGUUCUCAAGGUUUUGGCCGCCUCGGUUGAGAGUUACACCAUCGGCUUCUUUGGUUCUGAGGCCGUUGGAGUUGGACUGAGCCAUGCUACCAGCUUCCCUGGGUCUCCAGCCUGCAGAUUGCCUACUGUGAGAUUUAGCCUCCAUAAUCACGUAACAGAAUAUUGGCAUGUAGCACUCCUCAAAACAUAGAAAGCAGAAACAAAUCAAUUCUGCCUGGAGGACCUCCCCGAUCUCAACACCCAGUGGUUUUGACAGAAUUGAUAUAGAAAUAGAAGCUUCAAGGUGGGAACUUUUUAUUUAAUGCAAAGUAAUAUACGAUUUAAGAAACUAUAUUUGUUGCAUGUUAUGUAUGUGUCAGAUAGUGGGUUAAGAAGUGCUUUACAUGAAUUAUACCGUUUAAUCUUCAAAACUACAGUAAGAUGCAGGGAUUGAUAUAUUUAUCCAACCAAUAUUUAUGAAUUAUUAGAACUGUUCUAGGUACUGUGGACCUAGCCAUGAAUUACAAGGUACUUUCUAUCCAUGGAGUUACAGCCUGGUGAGGGAGACCUGUAACAUCAAACAAAUAAAUAAAAUAAAAAUAGAAG